GGCCCUUUUGGGGGGGAAGGGUGGGGGUGGGACAGAUUGGAUGGGCGCCCCGCUGAGAUUAAUGUAGUGUCCUCCACAAAAAGCCAGGGGUGUGUGGGGGGGGGGGGGGGGCGAGUCGGGGCAUCGCUCCCAUGCAGGGAUUAACCAGGUUUAGCCAUUAGCACAACCUGCUAGUGGACUAGCAUCGCAGCAGGGUUCAAAUAGCCCCCCCACCCGCCGCCUCCCAACAAGAGGUGACACUCACAGGACCAAGCAGAUCACAAACAAGGACAGGAAGUAAAAACACACACAAGAAAUGGGGACUUUCAAACUAAAACAGAAAACAAACCCCUGAAAACUUUUUGUCCUCAAAGACUGGAAACACCCAGCGUGUGUUUCUGUGAAACCGAAAAGGAAACACACAAGAGUAGACGACACAUCUCCAAGCUAACCGCUAACGCGUCAGUUAUGUUCCGGAUGGAAUCUCAUCGGGUCUGUUUUUUGUUUUGAUAAAAUCUCCCACGAUCUGAAGCUUAAUAUCAGUUUCUAGAAUCUAGUUUCCAUCGGUCACUCGUAUUAGAAUUACUUAUUUGUCGUUGGAUUUCCCAUUUUCUACAUUAUUUGAAAUUAUUUGAUUAAUUAAAUAAAUUAAAUUGUCUUAAUACUUUUGUAUUUAUUUGUUUAAUGGCGUCAAUAUCCUCUAUUUACACUUGAUGAUCUAUAUCCUUUUCUUCGUUUAUUUCUGUUUUUUAAUUGUAUUGUUUUUUUCCUGCUAUUUAUCUGUUAUAAUCUUAAAUGAAACAAUAGCUGUGCAUGAUUAAUAAGGUUUUGGCUUAUCUUAUAUCAUGAAAAUGCUUUGACAAAAACCCCUGUAAUGAACUGGUAAAUCAAAGUAUCCUGUAACAGUCCUUCAAUAUUUACUCUAGCAUCCCUGCUCUCUGCAUCAUUCAUCUUUUAUUUCCAUUCAACUAUCAUUUGUGUUGUGUUUUCAUAUUCAUAUAUAUGCUUUUGUGGGUAUAUUUAUAUUUUUAUGUGUACGUAUACGUUAAAUGUUUAUGCUUACCGUUGCUGUACUUUGUUGUACUUUAUUUAUCCAUUUCUUUGUAGACGCACAUGAAGAAAAAAGCCGAUUCAGAUCAUUCACGCAAAAACGUUUGCUGUUGUUAUUGUUACAUCGUCAUUAUCAUCAUGUGUUUGUCCUUCUUCUUAUUUUUAAAUACCUUAUCUUGAUCAUAAGAUAUCAUCUCCAAGUCUUGAUGAAACAAUAUAAGCCAUCACAUCUCUCUACUAUUGACAUGUCAUCUAAUGUGCUUACAUAUGAAAGGUACACAGGUUUUGGAACGUACAGUAAAUAAUUCAGGUCUUCACAUGCUCAUAAGGCGUCGACAUUGAGACGUUCAGCCAUAUGGCCUCUGUGUUAACGGCCCCUUUAUGUAAAUCUAUAGAGUGAGAUUCGCAAUUUAUGCGAGUGAGUAACAGACUUUAGCUGCGACGCCGUGUGGUUUUUACACAAAGGGUUCUUCUACAACAAAAGGUGUGUCGGCGUUAAUGAUGCACAGCAAAUAUUUACGUGAGUUGUGCGUCACAAACAGGCCGGUUUGUGUGUUUGUUGUUCGCGCCACGAAGGCAAACUGGAAACGAAUCCCAGAGAUGAAACAAACAUGUUGACUUGUUGUUUCCAGCAAGUGUGUGCUGGUAUGUGUGUGUGCGUGUGUGUGUGUGUGUGCAUGUCUGACUUAUAUUUUGUAACUUAAUGGAGGCACCCCCUGACCCCCGCCUACCUCAUCAGCGUGUGAUUGGUCUCUGGCUGCGGCAUCGGGGAUUAGACCAUGUUUCCCCACUUUACGUCCCCUGUUCUCUCUCCCUCUCUCUCUCCACAUCACAUGAUCCGUUACAUCACGGGAUUGAGGUCAGAGCUGGAUUAGGGGGAGCAAGAGAGGCAACGCUGGAAUUACUGAAAGUGAGGGAGUGAGUGCGGGAGGAAGAGGAGGAGGAGGAGGAGGUGGGUCGGUGGUUCAGAUGGCCCACAGAUGAAGAGAAGAUGAGAAAGAGAGAGAGAGAAGGAAAAGGAGAUAACGAGGGAUUGGAACAAAGAAAGAGGAGCAUGGAGGAAGAGGAGGGUGGGCGGGAUGAAGAUAUGCAGGGGUUUACACUAAAAGGGGGAUUGAACAAUGCAAAGGUCUUGAUCAUCUAAAUGCAGUAAAGUGUGUUUGACAAAGUGGAGCUGAGGGAAAAAAACGUUUGUGCGAUCGUUUUGCAGGAGAUACGUUCGAGCAUUAAUGUGGUGCAGUGAUGGGGCCAAAGUUCAAGAGCUCAGGCAGGAACUCACAAGCCGCCCUGUAGUCUGUUGUGUUUAUGCACUUAUACGUGUAAAUGUCCUAAGCACCUCUGUCUUUUAUCAUGUUACAAGCAGUUGCAUGGAGACUUUAUUGAGCCCAGCAGUAUUGGAGAUAAUGAAUGUGAAAAGCUUCUGGCCUUCAUGUGUACUUUGAAUCAAUGCAGAAUAUUUUUUACUCAUUGUCAAUAGGCUGACAACAGUUUCAUGAACCAGUGGCGCUCAACCUUCUCAAAUGAUAUGAAAAGACCCCUCAUCAGCGGUCGGAUACCUUUUUUUGGAGGCCGGAAGAACUAAAUUAUCCAUCCAUUUGAAUAUCAAUAUGUGAAGUUCUCUAACAGCAGCGAUGAGACUCGUCCUCACGUAUCAGUCCACCACAUCUCCAUCGGGAACCCUUCAACACUAUCAUCUCAUCCCGUCCGCACUCCCCUUUGCCUCCGUGUUCUUCAGAUGGCCACGUGUGAUGGAUUUUUUGUAAUAGGAAUCUGAUACACUGAGGCCCGAGGUUCUCCUGCUGGCCAACCAAGACGCAGCCUUUUUGAGGUUAUGGUUCAUCGUGACGGAGUGAGAAAUAAAAGCAUCCGUUUUCCUUUAACUCACAAUUUCCUCCCCCUGUAAACAAUGUUUGGACAACUUCAUCUGCUUCAGACCAGGUUUUUUUCAGGUCUAUUUUUAUUUACAAGAGGUCAGAGUUUAAUUAAUGAUACUUUAUGUCCCAUGAUGCACUGGGCCUGCGAGAGCAUCUGUCCCCGGGGAACAUUGGAACCAAUUUGUCAUCGGGAGAGGGAGAAGGCUUUAAUCCUGCCGAUGAAAAGAGAGACAUGUCCAGAGAAAGAUGGACAUGCAAGAGAGAGAGACGGGGGCAGGCGGGAUGAAGAGGACGGAGCGCGGAGACGAAGAAGAGGAGGAAGAGAAGGAGGCAGAGGAAGAGGGACAAAGUAAUCCUGUCUAAUUCACUUAGUGUUACGCUGAGGGAGCAGGACACUAAGAGGAUUUGGGACAUUCUCUAAAUUAGAUCAGCAAGAAUAACAAACUGUAAGGAGAGGUGGAGCGGAGGGGGCAAGGGGGCACGCCAAGAGAGCGAAGGAAGGGGUCGAUGAGGGAAGGUGGCAUGAAGGUAGUGGUCGAUGAGGGAAGGUGGCAUGAAGGGGGUGGUCGAUGAGGGAAGGUGCCAUGAAGGAAGGUGUCAAUGAGGGAAGGUGGGAUGGAGGAAGGGGUCAAUGAGGGAAGGUGGGAUGAAGGGGGUGGUCGAUGAGGGAAGGUGGCAUGAAGGUAGGGGUCAAUGAGGGAAGGUGCUAUGAAGGAAGUAGUCGAUGAGGGAAGGUGGGGUGGAGGAAGGGGUUGAUGAGGGAAGGUGGCAAGGGGUCAAUGAGGGAAGGUCGGAUGAAGGUAGGGGUCAAUGAGGGAAGGUGGGAUGGAGGGGGUGGUCGAUGAGGGAAGGUGCCAUGAAGGAAGGUGUCAAUGAGGGAAGGUGGGAUGGAGGAAGGGGUCAAUGAGGGAAGGUGGGAUGAAGGGGGUGGUCGAUGAGGGAAGGUGGCAUGAAGGUAGGGGUCAAUGAGGGAAGGUGCCGUGAAGGAAGGUGUCAAUGAGGGAAGGUGGGAUGGAGGAAGGGUUUGAUGAGGGAAGGUGGCAAGGGGUCAAUGAGGGAAGGUCGGAUGAAGGUAGGGGUCAAUGAGGGAAGGUGGGAUGGAGGAAGGGGUCGAUGAGGGAAGGUGGCAAGGGGUGAAUGAGGGAAGGUGGGAUGGAAGAAGGGGUGAAUGAGGAAAGGUUGGAUGGAAGAAGGGGUCAAUGAGGGAAGGUGGGAUGGAAGAAGGGGUCAAUGAGGGAAGGUGGGAUGAAGGUAGGGGUCAAUGAGGGAAGGUGGGAUGGAGGAAGGGGUCGAUGAGGGAAGGUGGCAAGGGGUCAAUGAGGGAAGGUGGGAUGGAGGAAGGGGUCAAUGAGGGAAGGUGGGAUGGAGGAAGGGGUCAAUGAGGGAAGGUGGGAUGGAGGAAGGGGUGAAUGAGGGAAGGUGGGAUGAAGGUAGGGGUCAAUGAGGGAAGGUGGGAUGGAGGAAGGGGUCAAUGAGGGAAGGUGGGAUGGAAGAAGGGGUCAAUGAGGGAAGGUGGGAUGAAGGUAGGGGUCAAUGAGGGAAGGUGGGAUGGAGGAAGGGGUCGAUGAGGGAAGGUGGCAAGGGGUCAAUGAGGGAAG
ensembl:lncRNA